GGGCGGCGGCGGCGGCGGCGGGAGCCUUAGGGAGGCGGCGGCUUCCUGGAGGGGGCGCACACUCUCUGAGGUCGCUCUUGACCCGACGCAAAGCCUCUUCGCUCUGUUUUUGCCUCUCAGCCCGGGGAGCGGGGGUCUUCUCUAUCCUACUCCAAGAGGACGCCGGUCGCCCUAGGAGCCCCCACCCCAUAGCUCCGAGCGGUCCUCACCUUGCAGAUGCCUGACCCCGCGAAGUCCCUAAUCCCAAGGACCCCCACACCCCUUUACCCAAGAAGUUCUGCCUUCCACGCAUCCCCGGGAGCUCCCCGUGUAAACGCUUCCCGAGUCUCCCUCACCCCUAACGCUCUGUCCCCGCAGCCCCUCUCGCCCCUUCACCCGAGGAGUCGCCCAGCCGCGACCCUGGGGACCCAGCCCCUUCCCUCCGACUGCUUCCUCUGCAGGCCUCGCCAUCACUUCCUAAAUAGCUUUGCCCUCCUUGAGACCCUGAGUCUUCGCGGGGCGGAGACCCUCCCUCCUCGGGUCCCUGGACCACUGGACGUCCCCUGCGAGCGGCGUGAGGGGAGGUCAUUACAGUGAAGACCCAGGAAGCAGGGCCUGGAGAGAAAAUUAAAGCUGUCAUUUGGAUUUCGUCGAGAAGGUGCGCCUCAGUAUCUGAUCCUGUUCAGAACUCAGCUCCAAUGAUUCUUCUGAGAAGCGUUCCCUCUUGCAUUCCACCAGACAGGGAGAAGAUGGCAGCAAAUGCCUCCAAAAGGGGUUCUCAAGGUUUGACAACCACCACAGG